AAAGCGUGUAAAAACGUAAAGCUUGCUUUUAUCUAUCUUUUUUUAUUGUCACGUCUUUAUCCAUCUAUGUAACGCUUAAUCAUCAAUUAUUAUAUUAAACUUCAAUAAAGGCUGGUGUACCAAAUUCAUGGUUUGUUUUAUCUGAUUAGUGUACCAAAUUCAAUUGGAACUAUAUCAGAUCCAUGAAAUUAUUGAUUAUUGAUACAUGCAGGUUAUGUGUGAUCCUUAUACACCAGCUGGUGUUCCAAUUCCAACCAACAAGAGGCACAACGCUGCUAAAAUUUUCAGACACCAAUCGUUGCCUCCGAGGAGCCUUGCAACCACGAUGCAUGAAGAAGAUUCAGUUCGAAAGAUUCAUAUAAAUUGGACUAUUGCUACAAAAAAAACAGAAUCACAGGUUUAAUUCUAUCAAAGGAGAUAAAGCCUCUUAUCUCUACUGUCUUUGAGGGUAAAGAUGCUAAUGUCAUCGCCCACGGAGCAAGAAAUUGCGGAAAAACAUAUCUCAUACAUGGAAAUGAUUAUGCUCUGACGCUCAAAGGAAACAGACACCUUUGACUGUGUCUGCUACUUCUAGAAAACAGACAGUGCUAAGGGGAAAUGUGACAGAGAGAAAAGACUAAAAUCAAAGCAAGGUAAAUCUUUCAGAAACAACUUUGUAUCAACUCUAAGCCUCAAUAUCCAUGAUAUACCUGCAUCUGCUCUGUUGUUCAGUUUUAGAACAUCAAAUAAUGAUGAUUUUUUUUCUCAAUGUUUGAAGGAAACUGUUCCGCGAAGCAAACGAUUCAGUGAAAUGUAAAAAUAGCAUGUUGGAAAAUUUAAUUAAUACGUCAUGAAGUGGAAUAAUCUAGAUUCUUCCUUUACAAAGAGGUAAAACAGAGGGUAUAGAAACAGAGACUAAGAGACCAAGAGUCUUAAUUAAGGAGGUUUGGUAUACCACUUAACCCUAAUCAAUCCACUACUUACUUGAUAAAGACAUAUUCUCAUCAUGUAUAUUUGAUUAGAUUAGCUAGGCUCGUAAUAUGGGACAAAACCCCGAAGAUGAGCAAGAAAUGCUUUGAAAGAUUUUAUCGUAGCAUGAGUGUCAUAUCUGCACCCUUCAGUGCUCCCUUGUAAAAUCAAAGUAUCUGAGUAUAGAUACUUAAUAGGUUUAAGUGUUCUUCGAUCUUGGACGAUAUGUUCCAACUUAUACUGAUACAGAGGUUAUACAGAUUUUUGGUUUUUCUAAUAAAAUAAAUUGUUUGCUGAAA